ensembl:lncRNA
CGCAGGGUUAAAAACAAAUCAAUGAACAACACACAGCAACAGGGAGUUAGAGGAGGGAACUACGCGUUUUGGGGCAGGGAAAGCAACCGGUUUCCAAGCUCUGCAUUUCGCCCAUGAACACACAGCUGGGUUGAGGGAGCAGGGUCACAAGGAAACUUGAAAGAACAGUCCAUGUCAAAGACCAGAAUUGGUGCAUUUGUAUGGUUCAAAUAAUAAUCUGAUCAUCUGAGUACUGUAUUUCAGGGGACGAGUCUCUCUAAAGUUGACCAUUGAGGUAACAGUUCCGCAGAUCAGAAGAAUGAACUAAGGAGGAGGCUGGUUCAGCUCCAACUGAGGAGGCGGGGUCAACUACAACUGGGGAGGCGGGGUCAACUUCAACUAUGGAGUCGGGGUCAACUUCAACUGAGGAGGCGGGGUCAACUUCAACUGAGGAGGCGGGGUCAACUUCAACUAUGGAGUCGGGAUCAACUUCAACUAUGGAGUCGGGGUCAACUUCAACUGAGGAGGCGGGGUCAACUUCAACUGAGGAGGCGGGGUCAACUUCAACUAUGGAGUCGGGAUCAACUUCAACUAUGGAGUCGGGGUCAACUUCAACUGAGGAGGCGGGGUCAACUUCAACUGAGGAGGCGGGGUCAUCUUCAACUGAGGAGGCGGGGUCAACUUCAACUGAGGAGGCGGGGUCAACUUCGACUGAGGAGGCGG